rnacentral:rRNA from 1 species
UACAGAGGUCCCAAGCGUUGUUCGGAUUCAUUGGGCGUAAAGGGUGCGUAGGCGGCGCGGUAAGUCGGGGGUGAAAUCCUGGAGCUCAACUCCAGAACUGCCUUCGAUACUGGCGAUCUCGAGUUCGGGAGAGGUGAGUGGAACUGCGAGUGUAGAGGUGAAAUUCGUAGAUAUUCGCAAGAACACCAGUGGCGAAGGCGGCUCACUGGCCCGAUACUGACGCUGAGGUGCGAAAGCGUGGGGAGCAAACAGG